GGUGGCUGUAUGAUCUUAAGUAAGCCCAUUUUGCUUCAAUUUUCUUAUCUAGAAAAUGGGGAUAAUAACACCCAUGUUAUAGAGUUAUUCUGAUGAUUUCUAAGAGUCUCAGAGACCUAGGAUCCACAAAAUCAAAACAACAAAACCAAGCCUUUGUGCACAUCUGUGGUUGUGACCAGUUGGAGAGACAUUAGGAGAUGAGAUACUAUGUUCACUCCUCACAGCUGUACCAGGGACCUGAGAUAUUCCGUCACUAUUCUAUGAGAUUUUGGAGAUCCCACCAGUGGUUUUCCGGUGCCAGGGUAUGAGAAGAUAGUCUCCAUGUCCAAACUCACAAUUUCAGAACAAAUUUCAUCAAGAUAAAGGCCUGGGCUGGUGAAUGGUUCCUGCUUUCACUAUUCCAGAUGUCCAGCUCUGUACCUUGCUGCUCUCCUUAAAGCCUGCCUCCCUCUAGGGAGCUAUGGUGCAUUACUCACGAGUGACAGAACCAACGAGCUUCAUCUCCCAAGAGGCUGGUGCAUCUGUUUAAAGGAGCAGGCACUAGGCAGAGCAGCCCCCACCCCACCCUCCAUGGCAGAGUGCAGUGGGGGAAGGGAUGGGAUUUCACCAUGUUGUCCAAGCUGGUUUUGAACUCCUGGGGUCAAGAAAUCCACCUGCUUCGGCCUCCCACAGUGCUGGGAUUACAGAUGGGGAAACUGAGGCACAGAGAGGUUAGAGAUAUGCCUGAAGCCACACAGCUUGCAAGUGGUGGAUCUGGGAUUUGAACUUGUCGAUCUGGCUGCAGAGCUGAGCUCUUGGAGACUAGGUUUUACUGCCUAGUAGCAUGUAAGCCUGGAACUGCCGGCAGUCAUUUUGUAAGUUUGCCGAGUGAACCUCAAUGAGCAUGAAGCAGAGAGGAAAGCAGUACUAAGAGAUGCAAAAGAGUCUGUGUUCCAGCAAUGGGAUCUGAAGUCCUGGAUCAAACCUUACCUGGAGACAAGAUUUACCCAUCAGACAUGCCAGUUAUAAGACCCAAAUUUACCCUUUUUGGGGGAUUGAGUUUGAAUGAGUAUUUUUGUUUGUUUGUUUUGGCAUCAGAAAGACUCCUGAUUAAUACACAGUGUGACGCUGACCAAGAUGC
rnacentral:lncRNA from 1 species